AGCAGUCGCCGCGGUAAUACGAAGGGUGCAAGCGUUACUCGGAAUUACUGGGCGUAAAGCGUGCGUAGGUGGUGGUUUAAGUCCGUUGUGAAAGCCCUGGGCUCAACCUGGGAAUUGCAGUGGAUACUGGGUCACUAGAGUGUGGUAGAGGAUAGUGGAAUUUCCGGUGUAGCAGUGAAAUGCGUAGAGAUCGGAAGGAACAUCUGUGGCGAAGGCGACUAUCUGGGCCAACACUGACACUGAGGCACGAAAGCGUGGGGAGCAAACAGGAUUAGAUACCCCCGUAGUCCCUGUCUCUUAUAA
rnacentral:rRNA from 1 species